rnacentral:tRNA from 1 species
GCUUAGGGAGCUAGUGAGCGGUCUAUUUUGUAAGUAGGAGGUAGCCAGUGGUUAUAUUCUGGCCCUAAGCU